UCUGUCUUCUUCCUGAGUUAAACACCUCUGACACUCCUGUGAGAUGAGCUCAUGUUCUCUCCAUCAACUCUGAAAACACUGAGUUUAAACACAUUGUUAACUUCUGCCACGAGGAAUCUCUCUAUCUGACCGAUGACAUAGAGACUUUUAGUUGACGGUGCUUUGACGCAGCGAGGUUACUCAUAGCUAAAAUAUGUGGCGAUGCUGCUUUAUUCUGAAAUAUUUGCAAAGGAAGUGUCGAACAUCGAAACCGAAAGUGUUUGAGAAACCAGUCAGGGUGUCGUCGUUUUCUGUGAGGUUCCCUUAUUUUAGAGCCUCGGUGAGGUGAAUCCUCAGAGGACAUCAACAACUAUGGAGCUUCUUCCUCUCGUGUGUCUCUGUCUGCUGAGCUGCUCUGGAGACGCUGUCAAAGUGGAGGUGGAAGAAGACAGUGAUGCUGUUUUACCCUGUUUGAUCAGCAACAAGGGGAGCCUCACAGGAAAUAGGUUUGACUGGAAGAAAGAUGGUCAGAAGAAGGUGUUUGGGUAUGAAGCAAACAGUGGUACCGGCCUUCAAGGUCAAGAUGAGCAGUUCAAAGGUCGAGUCUCACAUUUUCAAGAUCAACUGCAGAACGGCAACGCCUCCAUAAAGAUCAGAAGAACAAAGGUGGCCGACAGUGGGAACUACAGCUGUGAUUUUCCGCGUCUUCAGCCGAGACAAACAUUCAUCAUUGAGCUUGUUGUUGGUGAGUGCUUUCAUUAAACAGUUAAAGAUGUCGCUCAUUUACUGCUGCGACUGGUUCCAGAGUCCCAGAUGGACUUUUGUUCAGUGGUCAGAAUCCACAUCUGGCAGGGCCUCGAGCCCACAGAGCUGCAGCCACAUCUGGAGAGACCACCUCUGUAUCAAACAUGCUGAUAUCAGAGACACACUGCAGAUUAUGUCUCUCUGUACAAUGAAGCUUCAGCCGUCUGUAGGAGAUGAAAUAUGACUUUUACACAGUAUUACCUGUCUGUUUCAAAACUAUCUAACAUGUUUGUUUUGCCUUUCAGAUCCAGUCUUAAAGGACAGAACAGGUGAAAACAUCCCAGGUG
rnacentral:lncRNA from 1 species